GAUGAAGAACGUAGUGAAAUGCGAUAAGUAAUGUGAAUUGCAGAAUUCAGUGAAUCAUCGAAUCUUUGAACGCAACUUGCGCCCUCUGGUAUUCCGGAGGGCAUGCCUGUUUGAGUGUCAUGUAGACUCAAUCCCUCGGGUUUCUGAGGAGGUUGGAUUUGGGUGCUUGCCUUCUGGCUCGCCUUAAAGGACUUAGCAGGAUAGCACUGUAGUCGACGUAAUAAGUCUCGUCGGUGAAAGUGUGAUGUCUGCUUACAGAUUGCCCUUGGGCACUUUUGACUCUGACCUCAAAUCAGGUAGGACUACCCGCUGAACUUAAGCAUAUCAUAACGGAGGA
rnacentral:misc_RNA from 1 species